UACGAAGGGGGCUAGCGUUGUUCGGAAUUACUGGGCGUAAAGCGCGCGUAGGCGGCUUUGCAAGUCGGGUGUGAAAUCCCCAGGCUUAACCUGGGAACUGCAUUCGAGACUGCAUUGCUAGAGUAUGGGAGAGGGAAGUGGAAUUUCCGGUGUAGCGGUGAAAUGCGUAGAUAUCGGAAGGAACAUCAGUGGCGAAGGCGGCAUCCUGGCCCUGUACUAACGCUGAGGCGCGAUAGCGUGGGGAGCAAACGGG
rnacentral:rRNA from 1 species